GGGCGAGUGGCGGAAUGGCAGACGCUGGGGACUUAAAAUCCCCUCCGGGUUUACCCGGGUGCGGGUUCGACUCCCGCCUCGCCCA
rnacentral:tRNA from 1 species